rnacentral:tRNA from 1 species
AUAGGUUAGCACCACAGGUUCUGCGGGGGGCACGCGCGGGCACCAGCGGACGGCUAUCAGCGGACUUAAAAUCCGCCAAGUGUCGGUUCGAGUCCGACUGGGG